rnacentral:lncRNA from 1 species
CUCCACACCCCACAGGGUUCAGGGUGACCCCGGCUUUGUCUGGACUGUGGCAGCUCCACCCAUUCCCUAUUGUGACCCAGGCAGUCAGGCUGGGCUGUGAGCUAGCGGGCAUGGAGAGUGAAGCCCCGCCCGGCCCCCCUUCCACACCAGAAGCCUCUCUGUGGCUGAUGGGAGGACCAGGGCUGAUGAAAGGAUGGAGCCAUGAAGGGCAGCCCUCCUGCUGCGGGUCGCCCUGCUGCUGCCCUGGGCCUGCAGCUCCUGGCACGUGGGUCUCUGGGAGUCCUUGUGGAUGUGCCUCUCCAGGGCCCUCCAUCCUCGGUGGGCAGGAGACUCCCCUAGGGAGCUUGCUCUCAAGUAAAUUCAUGGCCAUCGGAUGAUAUUAAUGAGACAUACACGGCAUCAGGACCUUCACAGCCACUACAGUUCUCAAUAGCAUACACACAGCUGCCACAAAUACACAGAAGUGUUGGGAAUUAGCUCUGUGAGACAGGCCUAUUUCAGAUAAGAAAAAUGAGGAUCAGAGAAGCUGAAAGUCUUGCG